rnacentral:rRNA from 1 species
UACGAAGGGUGCAAACGUUGCUCGGAAUUAUUGGGCGUAAAGCGCAUGUAGGCGGCAUUGCAAGUCGGAUGUGAAAUCUUAUGGCUUAACCAUAAAAGUGCAUCCGAAACUGCAGUGCUUGAGUACUUAAGAGGAUCGCGGAAUUCCCGGUGUAGAGGUGAAAUUCGUAGAUAUCGGGAGGAACACCAGUGGCGAAGGCGGCGAUCUGGGAAGAUACUGACGCUGAGGUGCGAAAGCGUGGGGAGCAAACAGG